rnacentral:rRNA from 1 species
AUUGAACGCUGGCGACAGGCCUAACACAUGCAAGUCGAGCGGAUGAAGGGAGCUUGCUCCUGGAUUCAGCGGCGGACGGGUGAGUAAUGCCUAGGAAUCUGCCUGGUAGUGGGGGAUAACGUCCGGAAACGGGCGCUAAUACCGCAUACGUCCUGAGGGAGAAAGUGGGGGAUCUUCGGACCUCACGCUAUCAGAUGAGCCUAGGUCGGAUUAGCUAGUUGGUGGGGUAAAGGCCUACCAAGGCGACGAUCCGUAACUGGUCUGAGAGGAUGAUCAGUCACACUGGAACUGAGACACGGUCCAGACUCCUACGGGAGGCAGCACUGGGGAAUAUUGGACAAUGGGCGAAAGCCUGAUCCAGCCAUGCCGCGUGCGUGAAGAAGGUCUUCGGAUUGUAAAGCACUUUAAGUUGGGAGGAAGGGCAGUAAGUUAAUACCUUGCUGUUUUGACGUUACCAACAGAAUAAGCACCGGCUAACUUCGUG